rnacentral:sRNA from 1 species
UGUAUCUGAAGACUGACGAGGAUGAGAACCUCCGGGGGCAAGAGGUUCGACCCGAGCGAAGCGAGAGAACGUUGCGCCAGCAACGGCCCGCAGGGCGAGCCACGCAGUGGCGAGUCAUCCUCUAUCACCGACCA